UACGAAGGGGGCUAGCGUUGUUCGGAAUUACUGGGCGUAAAGCGUGCGCAGGCGGUUAUGUAAGACAGUUGUGAAAUCCCCGGGCUUAACCUGGGAACUGCGUUUGAAACUACAAGGCUAGAGUGUGACAGAGGGGGGUGGAAUUCCACGUGUAGCAGUGAAAUGCGUAGAGAUGUGGAGGAACACCGAUGGCGAAGGCAGCCCCCUGGGUUAACACUGACGCUCAGGCACGAAAGCGUGGGGAGCAAACAGG
rnacentral:rRNA from 1 species